AUGAGCUCAAUGAGCAUAGCUCACUAAGCCCAAGCAAGCCUAUCCAUUUACCUUUGCUUAACAAAUUUAUCAUAUCAUGCAUACACACACACACACACCUUUUCCCGGGUGUGAACAUAGCCAAAACACAAUGGCAUUAUCGAUAAUAAUAUACAUGCACUAUACCAGUCAUGUAUUUAGCAAUUUACAUUGCAUGCACAUAUUCACAUUGUUAGAUUGUAUUCACACUACAAAAGGACCCAUGACUUCCAGCGGAGACAUUUACAAUAAAAAGGAUUACUAUCGAAUGCCAGACACAUACCCAAGAGAUGCACUACGGGGACUCCUCGAUCUAAGGUCCAACAGUCACCUGAUUUGAAAACAUGAAUUUUUUUUAAUAAAAUGUGAGUACAAUACUUAGUGAGUGAACAAGAUGGGAACAAGCAUACCAUAAGGAAUGUUUAUCGAAAUCAUGAUGCAUUCAUUUUCUCAAAACCAUGCAAUUGUUUUAGCUCCUUUAAACCCCUGAUGUAAACCCCACAUGAGUAAAUCACUUUACAAAAAUCCAUGCUCAACUAUGGUACCAAAGAAAUGAGAAAUAUGGCAAAAACCCACAAGUUAGCAAAAUG
rnacentral:lncRNA from 1 species